rnacentral:rRNA from 1 species
ACGCUCGACACCUACGUGAGGCAGCAGUGGGGAAUAUUGCACAAUGGGGGAAACCCUGAUGCAGCAACGCCGCGUGAGUGAAGAAGUAUUUCGGUAUGUAAAGCUCUAUCAGCAGGGAAGAUAAUGACGGUACCUGACUAAGAAGCUCCGGCUAAAUACGUGCCAGUAGCCGCGGUAAUCUGAGCGGGCUGGCAAGGC